rnacentral:rRNA from 1 species
UACGAAGGGGGCUAGCGUUGCUCGGAAUGACUGGGCGUAAAGCGUGCGCAGGCGGUUGUGCAAGACAGAGGUGAAAUCCCCGGGCUUAACCUGGGAACUGCGUUUGAAACUACAAGGCUAGAGUGUGGCAGAGGGGGGUGGAAUUCCACGUGUAGCAGUGAAAUGCGUAGAGAUGUGGAGGAACACCGAUGGCGAAGGCAGCCCCCUGGGUUAACACUGACGCUCAGGCACGAAAGCGUGGGGAGCAAACAGG